GAUCAUGGCUCAGGACGAACGCUGGCGGCGUGCCUAACACAUGCAAGUCGAACGAAGCUCUGCGAUACAAGACUUCGGUCAAGUUGAACGGAUGACUUAGUGGCGGACGGGUGAGUAACGCGUGAGGAACCUGCCUUUCAGUGGGGGACGAACAGUUGGAAACGACUGCUAAUACCGCAUAAUGUAUUCUGACCGCAUGAUCGGAAUACCAAAGAUUUAUUGCUGAAAGAUGGCCUCG
rnacentral:rRNA from 1 species